AACGAACGCUGGCGGCGUGGAUAAGACAUGCAAGUCGAGCGCUGAUUCCGGGGUAGCAAUAUUCCGGAGUUGGAGCGGCGCAAGGGUGCGUAACACGUGGGUAAUCUGCCGCGAAGUUUGGGAUAACUUGCUGAAAGGCGAGCUAAUACCGAAUGUGGCCUUUGGGAGACAUCUCCUGACGGCUGAAGUUGGGGACCGCAAGGCCUGACGCUUCACGAUGAACCCGCGGCCUAUCAGCUAGUUGGUGAGGUAACGGCCCACCAAGGCUAAGACGGGUAGCUGGUCUGAGAGGACGACCAGCCACACUGGAACUGAGACACGGUCCAGACACCUACGGGUGGCUG
rnacentral:rRNA from 1 species